rnacentral:rRNA from 1 species
CCUACGGGGGUCAGCAGUGGGGAAUAUUGGGCAAUGGGCGCAAGCCUGACCCAGCAACGCCGCGUGAAUGAAGAAGGUCUUCGGAUUGUAAAAUUCUGUUCUGUGGGAAGAAGAAAGUGACGGUACCAUAGGAAGAAGCCCCGGCUAACUACGUGCCAGCAGCCGCGGUAAUACGUAGGUGGCGAGCGUUAUCCGGAUUUAUUGGGCGUAAAGGGCGCGUAGGCGGGAAUACAAGUCUGAUGUGAAAACCCCGGGCUUAACCUGUGGCUUGCAUGGGAAACUGUAGUUCUUGAGUGCAGGAGAGGCAAGCGGAAUUCCGAGUGUAGCGGUGAAAUGCAUAGAUAUAAGGAGGAACACCAGUGGCGAAGGCGGAUUGCUGGACGGAAACUGACGCUGAGGCGCGAAAGCGUGGGGAGCAAACAGGAUUAGAUACCCUUGUAGUC